rnacentral:rRNA from 1 species
GACGAACGCUGGCGGCGUGCUUAACACAUGCAAGUCGAACGGAGUGGCGAACGGGUGAGUAACACGUGGGUGACCUGCCCUGCAAUUCGGGAUAAGCCUGGGAAAAUGGGUUUAAUACCGGAUAGUGUGGGAUGGGCCCGCGGCCUAUGAGCUUGUUGGUGGGGUAAUGGCCUACCAAGGGGGCGACGGAUAGCCGGCCUGAGAGGGGGGACGGCCACAUUGGGACUGAGACACGGACCAGACUCCUACGGGGGGCAGCAGUGGAGAGUAUUGCACAAGGGGCGGAAGUCUGAUGCAGCGACGCCGGGUGGGGGAAGACGGCCUUCGGGGUGUAAACUCCUUUCACCAUAGACGCGGUAGAUGGAGAAGAAGCACCGGCUAACUACGUGCCAGCAGCCGCGGUAAUUC